GAUGAACGCUGGCGGCGUGCCUAAUACAUGCAAGUCGAGCGAACAGACGAGGAGCUUGCUCCUCUGACGUUAGCGGCGGACGGGUGAGUAACACGUGGAUAACCUACCUAUAAGACUGGGAUAACUUCGGGAAACCGGAGCUAAUACCGGAUAAUAUAUUGAACCGCAUGGUUCAAUAGUGAAAGACGGUUUUGCUGUCACUUAUAGAUGGAUCCGCGCCGCAUUAGCUAGUUGGUAAGGUAACGGCUUACCAAGGCAACGAUGCGUAGCCGACCUGAGAGGGUGAUCGGCCACACUGGAACUGAGACACGGUCCAGACUCCUACGGGAGGCAGCAGUAGGGAAUCUUCCGCAAUGGGCGAAAGCUUGACGGAGCAACGCCGCGUGAGUGAUGAAGGCCUUCGGAUCGUAAAACUCUGUUAUUAGGGAAGAACAAAUGUGUAAGUAACUAUGCACGUCUUGACGGUACCUAAUCAGAAAGCCACGGCUAACUACGUG
rnacentral:rRNA from 1 species